rnacentral:rRNA from 1 species
UAAUACAGAGGGGGCAAGCGUUGUUCGGAAUUACUGGGCGUAAAGGGCGCGUAGGCGGCCUGUUAAGUCGAACGUGAAAUCCCUGGGCUCAACCCAGGAACUGCGUCCGAUACUGGCAGGCUUGAAUCCGGGAGAGGGAUGCGGAAUUCCAGGUGUAGCGGUGAAAUGCGUAGAUAUCUGGAGGAACACCGGUGGCGAAGGCGGCAUCCUGGACCGGCAUU